CAUAAGGACCUAAGAGCUAUGGUUCUGCAGCUAUAAAUAGUAAUGUUGGUUGAUCUAUUUCAUUUUAUAUAUUUUCAUGUGUAUGGUUGUAUAUAUAUAUUUAUAUUUCAUUUCAGAGUUCACUCACAGAUGUUUAAUUUGUAAUUUUGGAUUUUUGCCGAUUCAGCUUAGAGAGGAUGUUUCAGUCGUCGACCUUGAAUAUGGCUAACAGACCAGGGGGAGUGGCAUAUAGAUUUCCGUAACUCUAUACUAUAUACUCUAUACUCUUUAUAUUUUAUUUUUAUCACAGAUGGAGCUAAAUCUACUGUAAGCUUUUAAGAGAGCCUGCUUUGAUAGAAGUGACAACAAUAUUUCAAACAUCACUUAUCUUUAUUAUUUGUUUCCAUUACAGAGUUCUUACGGAGAUAUAUAGGUUACAAUAAUGUAUUUAUUAUUUCUGAUGGUCUUUAUAUGUCCUAUGUGUGUAAUUUUUUGUCUUAAAGAAAUAAAAUAUGGUAUUGACUAUUGAUUUCAAUGGGAAAAAACACACAGAAGAAAUCAACUUAAAUACCUGCAAAGACUAAUGGUAUGAUAUUAUACACCAUUACAUGUACAUUGGCCAGUUGAAUUCUUAUCAGGAUAAUUAAAACAAAAAUAAUUAAAAAAUAACUGUAUUAGACAUUAUUAAUGUUUUUCUAACAGUAGCCAUGUGAAGGGUGAGAACAUAUUUUCCAAGUCAGAAAACUGAAAACUAAAAGUUGUGAAAACAUCUAGCUACCCGACAGAGAAUUAUUUUACCAGUUUAAUAUUUAAAGAUACAAGUAUAUUAACAAGAUUUUCUAUUAAAAUGGCAAUAGUAAAUCCUGAUAUUGGAAUAGAACUUCCAAGGGGAGACAAAUUCAAUAAACACCAAGAUUUGUUAAUUCAAUGGGAGAUAACUCUGUAAAAUAUGCAGAUUUUAAUGCAGUUGAAAUUCAAAUCAUGAUUCUUUGACUUCUUUUUUUUUUCCAUCUUUAUAUUAAUUUUACACACUUAGGUGUUGAUGUUAUACUAUUGUGAACAUGUAGUAAAAAAUCAAAACAGUAUUUAGUAAAUGUUUAUGUUUACAUAAAUGGAUUUAUAAAAUAUAUAAUAAUGUAUUAAUUUUAAUUCCUUUUUAGGUUCUUUCUGUGAAAUGUUUUCAUGGUGUUGGGAAUAAGACUUUGGGGUCUAAUACAUCUAAAAGGAAGGUUAACAUCAUAGCUUGUCCGUAAGGAUUGAGGUUGGGAAUGGCCAUUGGAGCUGACUUUUAUGGUAACUUUAACUGUGGCUGCAUGAAAAUGAUUGGGUGACUGUACCAGUAAAGAAUGUAAUUCAGACAAUUUUUGUGAAUGUUUGAGAAAAUGUUUAUAAUUUUUUACAAAAAAAAAAUAGUGCAAAGAUUCUCCAUUUUCAACAAGAUUGUAAGUUAUAGAUAACUUAUUUUGAAUUUUAAAAUCUCUCAUUUAACCAUUAAAACCAAAGGAUAUAUUCAGGUAGCUCUACUCAUGUCCAUUCUUGACAAUUUUUUUGUCAUGCAUAUUGAUACUGAACUGGUUUUUGUCUCGCCUUGACGGAGUCAAAAAGCGAGACAUAGGUAUGCUGUUUCCGGCGGCGGCGGUGUCAACAAUGUAUUAGUUUGUGAUUAGGUCUAGUUUAUGGUGAACCACUAGUGGUAGGUCAAUGAUAUUUAGUAUGCAGUUGAAUUAGCAUUGGCACAUCUCAUUACCAUGGAGAUUAUUUGGCCCUGCCCCCUCAGUCAUGGUUUAUUGACUUUGAAACUUUGCUUAGUUUUCAUGUAUUAGUUUGUGAUUAUGUCAGUUUAUGGGGAACCACUAGUGGUAGGUCAAUGAUAUUUGGUAUGCAGUUGUAUAAGCAUUGGCAUAUCUCAUUUCCAUGAAGAUUAUUUUGCCCCGCCCCUUCAGUCAUGGUCUAUUGACUUUGAAACUUUUGCUUAGUUUACAGGUUAAUGUUUGUGUUUAGGUUUCUUUAAAGGGAAUGACUUAUGGAAAAGUCAAUGGCAUUUGGUAUGCAGUUGUAUUAGCAUUGGCACAUCUCAUUUCCAUGGAGAUUGUUUAUAGCCCUGUACCUUUAGUCAUGGUUCAUUGACUUUGAAUAUUUGCAUAACUUCCAUGUAAAAGUAUUGUUAUUUUAAUUUCAACAUUUGCAUUAUCAAAAUAACAAAUAGGCAAGACAUAUCUCUGUGUUAACAGUUUAUCGGUAUGUAUACUUUUGUUUUGAGUUCAUAGUUCAGAUUGUAUUCAUUAUUUUUUUCCCCUGUUGCUAGAUUUAAUUGGUACUUUGAAAAUUAAUUGAAAUGGACCACUUUUAUUUGAAGACCUACUCUCUUAGAUAUAUUAAUAAUGGUCCAUGUCUAGUCAAAACACUUCCAGAAGUUAAGAAUGGAGAAUCUUAAAAUAAAAGAAAAAAUGAAAUGUAUAUUUUGGCUUUCACCUUGUUAAAUAUAUAUCUUUUCCGAAUUUUUUCGUUUUUUUAUGCCCCUGCCAUAGGGAAAGGAGGCAUUAAGUGUUACCCUUGACGUCCUUCUGUCCUUUUGUUGUUCCUUUUGUCCCAUUUUUGUUUCCGCACUAACUUUUAAGAGUAAUGCCCCUUUAUCAGUUGGAAAGUUGCAAAUUUGGGCAGUGAGUCACUUACUUUUCUAGAGUUAUGCUCCUUUUUACAAUUUUUAAAAUUCCAAAGCUUGAGCAAGGGCAUCAUGUCCUCAGACACAUUCUUCUUUUAUUUUUUAGCUGAUUUUGAUAUAAUUUAUAUUUUUAUCAAUUGUUUUGUUCUGAAUAAUUAUACAUAUUUUUAUACUGUCUAAAGUAUACUUCCUGAGCAUUAGGUUUUGGACUCAGGUUUCCAACAUUUUCCCACUACAAAUUCAGUUUUUAAAGAAGUUUGACCAAGUUCACUCGUUUUAGUCGGUUGUCAUGGUUGUUCCUGGCAGGGAGAUUGUUGAUGAUAGAGAUUUUGUCAUUAUUUGGUAUUUAACUUAAAAUACAGCAUAGAAGCAUUUCAUCAAUUAUGAUUUUUAUGAUUAUCUUUUAUGUAUAUAUGCUUACAAUUUGUAUACAUGUAUAUUGUUUUAAAAAUCAUUAAAAUCUGGUGUCCAGACGAGCUGUCUGGGUUAUCAGCUACAUGAA